rnacentral:lncRNA from 1 species
AAACAGUGAUAUCAUAUGAUAAAAAAUUCAAACCAGGGAUGAAACAUUCAUAUAAUGAGUGAAGAUCAAGCAUGCAAAAAUUCAAGUCAAUUGGAGCAUCACAUGGCAUUUCACAAGGCAUUGAUCACAACAUGUCAAUAUAGCACAAUGUUCAAUCAAAAAUCAACAAAUAAAAAUCCAGAAACAAACAAAUCAUGGAAAUAAUAUGAAAAAAAUACUAGACAUUAAAACAAACAUGUAGAAAAAAAUUGGAAUCAAUUU